rnacentral:rRNA from 1 species
GACGAACGCUGGCGGCGUGCCUAAUACAUGCAAGUCGAACGCAGUGGGGACGGGUGAGUAACACGUGGGUAACCUCCCAUCAGAGGGGCUAACACUUGGAAACAGGUGCUAAACCGAUAUUGAUGGAUGGACCCGCGGUGCAUUAGCUAGGUGGUGAGGUAACGGCUCACCAAGGCGACGAUGGAUAGCCGACCUUAGAGGAUGAACAGCCACACGGGAACUGAGACACGGUCCAGACUCCUACGGGAGGCAGCAGUGGGGAAUAUUGCACAAUGGGCGCAAGCCUGAUGCGGCCAUGCCGGGUGGAUGAAGAGGGCCUUCGGGUUGUAAAGUACUUUCGGCGGGGAGGCGUUACCCGCAGAAGAAGCACCGGCUAACUCCGUGCCAGCAGCCGCGGUAAUAC